UGCUACUCUUAAGUUCACUGGUGAAACAUGUUUCCCAUCUUUCAUCUAUUGUGUUAAUAUUUGGCCAACAACAAAAAACCCUUCAUAUUCGUCCCAAAGUUCAAAAUGACAGUGUUAAUAGAAGAAAGAAAAAAAGAGAAAAGUAAUAUUACUCAUGACUCUCAUUACGAAAAAAUAGUCUCUAAUUGAUAGCUAUUUGUAAACUACCCACUACUACCAUUAAGAAAAAAAUAGCCUACACAACCUCUAUAGAUAUUUAUAAAUUAGUACCCAUCACCACCAUUUUAUAAAAAAAUGUUUAACCUAAAAAUACUACUAUAUCUAUUUUAUAAUUUAUCCACUUGUUAUUAUAAAAGAAUAACCUAAAAUACCCAUAUGUCUAUUAUAAUUGACCCAACACCUCCAUUAAGAAAAAUUAACCAAGCAUGUCCUUAUGGAUGCUUCUCAACCAUCCAUCUCUAUCAUUAUUUAAAAAUGAAACAGAUCGAAGAGACAUAAUUUAGUUAAUGCAUAGUUGGGUUGCACAUAGUAGACAUUUAAGAUAUCAAGGUUGUAA
rnacentral:lncRNA from 1 species